CGCCUCUUGAAUAAAUAUAAGAGGUCCAGCCUGCCCAGUGACUCUGUUCAACGGCCGCGGUAUCCUAACCGUGCGAAGGUAGCGUAAUCACUUGUUCUUUAAAUGAGGACUAGUAUGAAUGGCACCACGAAGGUUAUACUGUCUCCUCUCCCUAAUCAGUGAAACUAAUCUCCCCGUGAAGAAGCGGGGAUAUACCUAUAAGACGAGAAGACCCUAUGGAGCUUUAAACCAAGUAACACUUGCACUAAUUUAAUAUAAAUUCCAGAAAAACCUUACCUACCCAUGCAAGAUAAUUACCAGUUUUAGGUUGGGGUGACCGCGGAGUAAAACAUAACCUCCACAUUGAAAGGAACCCACUCCUCAGCCAAGAGUAACAUCUCUACGCACCAUUAUAAUGACAUUAAUUGACCCAAUAUUUUGAUCAACGAACCAAGUUACCCUAGGGAUAACAGCGCAAUCCACUUCAAGAGCUCCUAUCGACAAGUGGGUUUACGACCUCGAUGUUGGAUCAGGGUAUCCCGGUGGUGCAGCCGCUACCAAAGGUUCGUUUGUUCAACGAUUAAAACCCU
rnacentral:rRNA from 1 species